ACUCCCUGGCAUUGAGCAAAGCGACACCUUGAUGGUGGUGGUGCUGUUCUUGUAACAGUUAGGGGCAGAGCUAAUGAUAGUCCUUUGUUCAUCCUAGCUUGAUGCCUGGCUAUGUGGCCAAACCUGUCUUAUUUCUAGGACUAAUAA